rnacentral:rRNA from 1 species
GAUGAACGCUAGCGGCAGGCUUAACACAUGCAAGUCGAGGGGCAGCAUGGUCUUCGGACUGAUGGCGACCGGCAAACGGGUGCGGAACACGUACAGAAUCUGCCUUUAUCUGGGGGAUAGCCUUUGGAAACGAAGAUUAAUACCCCAUAGUAUUAUUAGGUGGCAUCACCUUGAUAAUUAAAGAAUUUCGGAUAGAGAUGACUGUGCGUACUAUUAGCUAGUUGGUAGGGUAACGGCCUACCAAGGCUACGAUAGUUAGCUGAUGUGAGAGCAUGAUCAGCCACACGGGCACUGAGACACGGGCCCGACUCCUGCGGGAGGCAGCAGUGAGGAAUAUUGGUCAAUGGGCGCAAGCCUGAACCAGCCAUGCCGCGUGAAGGAUGAAGGCGUUCUGCGUCGUAAACUUCUUUUACCUGGGAAGAAACCUACCUUUUCUAAGGUAGCCGACGGUACCAGAGGAAUAAGCACCGGCUAACUCCGUGCCAGCCGCCGCCGUAA